rnacentral:tRNA from 1 species
GGGGGAAUGUACCCCAGGGGAAUCAGGGGGGGGGUUGGGAAACCCCCCCCAUGGCGCGGAAUAA